AAGAUGGCGACCGGCGCACGGGUGAGUAACACGUAUCCAACCUGCCGAUAACUCCGAAAUAGCCUUUCGAAAGAAAGAUUAAUACCGGAUGGCAUACGAAUAUCGCAUGAUAUUUUUAUUAAAGAAUUUCGGUUAUCGAUGGGGAUGCGUUCCAUUAGUUUGUUGGCGGGGUAACGGCCCACCAAGACUACGAUGGAUAGGGGUUCUGAGAGGAAGGUCCCCCACAUUGGAACUGAGACACGGUCCAA
rnacentral:rRNA from 1 species